GACGAACGCUGGCGGCGUGCUUAACACAUGCAAGUCGAGCGGUAAGGCCCUUUCGGGGGUACACGAGCGGCGAACGGGUGAGUAACACGUGGGUGACCUGCCCUCAGCUCUGGGAUAAGCCUGGGAAACCGGGUCUAAUACCGGAUAUGACUCCAUGACGCAUGUUGUGGGGUGGAAAGCCUUGUGCGGCUGAGGAUGGGCCCGCGGCCUAUCAGCUUGUUGGUGGGGGAUGGCCUACCAAGGCGACGACGGGUAGCCGGCCUGAGAGGGCGACCGGCCACACUGGGACUGAGACACGGCCCAAACUCCUACGGGAGGCAGCAGUGGGGAAUAUUGGACAAUGGGCGCAAGCCUGAUCCAGCCAUGCCGCGUGGGUGAUGAAGGCCCUAGGGUUGUAAAGCCCUUUCGGCGGGGAAGAUAAUGACGUACCGCAGAGAAGCCCGGCUAACUUCGUGCCAGCAGCCGCGGU
rnacentral:rRNA from 1 species